rnacentral:tRNA from 1 species
AGGGGUAUAAGUUUAAUGGUAAACUAUUGGUCUCCAAAACCAAUUUUGAGGGUUCGAAUCCUUCUGCCCCUG